AUUGAACGCUGGCGGCAGGCCUAACACAUGCAAGUCGAACGGUAACAGGAAGCAGCUUGCUGCUUCGCUGACGAGUGGCGGACGGGUGAGUAAUGUCUGGGAAACUGCCUGAUGGAGGGGGAUAACUACUGGAAACGGUAGCUAAUAACGCAUAACGUCGCAAGACCAAAGAGGGGGACCUUAGGGCCUCUUGCCAUCGGAUGUGCCCAGAUGGGAUUAGCUAGUAGGUGGGGUAACGGCUCACCUAGGCGACGAUCCCUAGCUGGUCUGAGAGGAUGACCAGCCACACUGGAACUGAGACACGGUCCAGACUCCUACGGGAGGCAGCAGUGGGGAAUAUUGCACAAUGGGCGCAAGCCUGAUGCAGCCAUGCCGCGUGUAUGAAGAAGGCCUUCGGGUUGUAAAGUACUUUCAGCGGGGAGGAAGGGAGUAAAGUUAAUACCUUUGCUCAUUGACGUUACCCGCAGAAGAAGCACCGGCUAACUCCGUG
rnacentral:rRNA from 1 species